rnacentral:rRNA from 1 species
ACUGAACGCGGGCGGCAUGCUUUACACAUGCAAGUCGAACGGUAACAGGCCGCAAGGUGCUGACGAGUGGCGAACGGGUGAGUAAGGCAUCGGAACGUGCCCUGUCGUGGGGGAUACCGCAGCGAAAGCUGCGCUAAUUCCCCAGACGAUCUAUGGAUGAAAGCGGGGGACCGUAAGGCCUCGCGCGAUUCGAGCGGCCGAUGUCAGAUUAGGUAGUUGGUGGGGUAAAGGCUCACCAAGCCAACGAUCGGUAGCUGGUCUGUGAGGACGACCAGCCACACUGGGCCGGAGACAGGGCCCAGACUCCUACGGGAGGCAGCAGUGGGGAAUUUUGGACAAUGGGCGCAAGCCUGUUCCAGCAAAGCCGCGUGCAGGAAGAAGGCCUUCGGGUUGUAAACUGCUUUUGUACGGAACGAAAAGGCUCUGGAUAAUACCUGGGGCUCAUGACGGUACCGUAAGAAUAAGCACCGGCUAACUACGUGCCAGCCGCCGCCGUAAGAC